ensembl:lncRNA
CGCGGGGUGGGUUCCGGGGCGGGCCGGCGGAAGGGGUCCGGGUCCUUCGUCCGGCCCCGCGCCGACCGGGCGGUGAAGCCCCAGCGCCCCUGCCCCCUCCCAGGGAUCCGGGAGGCACCGAGGGCCGCAGAGAGGGAUCGAAAGGGUGCCCGACUCGGGACGGGAAAGUUGAGUUGACGUCUCGGCCUCGGUGCGAAGUUUCCGAGCGUGGGACGUGCGGAACGCCGGCUCGAGCCUUUGGGCUGGAGAAACGGGAGCCGGCGGCUACAUUGUCGGGCGAAGAGUUACGUUGUUGCGCUGGAGCGAUGGGGUAGACUGUAUCUCUCGCCGCGUCCCCACAUUUGGCUCCUUGUUGGACUUGAACAGUGUGUGGUUUGUCGGGGGCGCACGGAAGGUUUUCAUUUACUUGAAAAGGACCAUCACAGCCCCGAGACUGAAGCUCGGUUUAGCCAUUUUCGCUUAGAGUCUCUGAUCCAAGAGGGUAUUAUGGCUGCUGAAUAAGAAGGAGUUCUCUUCUAAACGAGUUUCUAAAUUUACCAGCAGUGUCCCAGAAGAGGCCAACACAUGCAUAUUCAGCACCCAAAAAGACUGGCAUGCAGUUUUUUGACAAACUGGGCCUUGCUCCUUGAAGGGCGAGAAUGUGCGUUCUGUUUUUACGAAAAUGUCAAGUAACUUCUCUGAAUCAUAUUAAGCAUGCUAAUUACCAAAUAUUAAAUGCUAAUUGCUCUACACGUGUAGUUCUUCGCAUGCCAAGGCAGGGAGAUGAAACUGGCAUGAGCUGCUGGUGACACGACAGGGGUUGUUUCUUGACUGAUGCUUUGCAGCCUCCACUUGGAGGUAGGAAGCGCGUUUUGUGCUCUUAACCCCAGAUGAGUAACAGUCAUGUUUAUCAGCCAGUGCACGCCUCAAGCCUUACAGCAACCAUGUGCCUCGGUGAAAUUUAAGCUGCUUUUUUUUUAGAUUUUUAAAAAAAUUUUUACCCCCCCCCCCCCCCCCCCCAACCUCCCUGGUACACAGCAUAUUUUUAGUUGCAGGUCCUUCUAGUUGUGGCAUGUGGGAUGCCGCCUCAGCAUGGCUUGAUGAGCGGUGCCAUGGCUGCACCCAGGAUCCGAGGUAGAGAAAUCCUGGGCCGCUGCAGCAGAGCACACGAACUUCACCAUUUGGCCAUGGGACCAGCUCCUAAGCUCCUUUUAAAGGGGAGAUGAGCCAAGAUGUGGAAGAAUGGCUAGGAGCGCCAAAGCAGGUAAGACGCAGUCGACCAGUAUGUCCAGUUACUACAGGCUUGACUGGGUUCACCCUGUACUUGGGUCGAGGAGUUUGCAUCAUCACAGCCUGUGCUUCCUCCAUCAAGACACUGACGCCUCUGAGUUGUGAUCGCCUGUUCACUUGUGUGUACCCUGAGCCAGACUUAGCUCCAUGAGACUACGGAUGGUGUCUGUAGCUGGCAGCACUGGAUAACAGGCUGAGGGAAUGUGGAAGGCUAGGAUGCCUGUCCAGGCACCUCGUGGAAUCAGCUGUCUUGACUUUCUUCCAGGUGCUGCACAGCUGAGCCCAGACAGGGGCCCUGGCUUUCCUAAGGCCCUGCAUGGAAGGGACAGGGGAGAGUCAAGUCCAUCCUAGCCCUCUUGCAAGUGGAACAAGGCUGCUCCCGCACAGCAUCCUCAGAUGAGAAGGACCGUGAAUGACACCCCUGGCCCUUCUGUAGAGGGGGUGAAGCUGAAACUGUGGUCUUGACCUCAAGCACUAAGAGCAAGUGGGACCUCCAGGCUAGCAUGUAUAGCAGUGGCUCAAACCUUCCAGGUUCAGAGAAAAUGGAGACCCGGUAUAAAUUACAGGCAAAGACGUCCCCAAGAUACACGGGACCAUGAACCCGGAAAUGCCACUCAACUUCAGAUCACAAGGAGGAAAAACUGUGGUUUUGCCGGAAGUAGCCAUCAUUACACAGCUUGGUAAAUUCACAACUGAUGGGGAAAAUCAGGAGGGAGAAAACCAAGCCAGGUCCCUCUUCCCAGAGCACAGGCCGUCUCGGCCCCUGUGGUUCCGCAUCCCUAAGCAGUCCCCGACUGGCUUACGCACGCCCCUCCAUACACUCGCCUGUCCUCCCUGGUCCUGGGAAUCCAAGUGCCCUAACUGUGACCUGAAGCUCCAGUGAACCGGAACUACAGCUGCUCUCCAAACACCCCCAAGGCUUCUGUUUUCAUCCCACGGCUCAGGAGUCCUGGAUUUUUGGGUUCCAUGGACCAGUAAAAUUCCAAAGACACAUUUGUGGACUGACAUCGGGCUGUCCAAGGAAGGACACCUAAGAAGACCUCAACUCCUACUGUCUAUGGUCCCCAACUUUUUAAGAAACAACAAAAAGAUCAUUGCCACAAAGACAAAACUACUGAAUGGAAUGAGGAUGCAAUGGAUGGAGCCAGGGCAGUUACCCGGCCCGUGAGGUGGAAGGCCCAUGUUCGAGUUGAGGAUGGAUAACAGCCAGAGUCUGAGCACCAGAGCUGCCACACUAGCCUUGGAGUGACUGUAUUCACAGGAGAGAGGAAACACCUGUUUUGCCAAGCUGCCCUGUCUGUCUCAAGCGUUCCUGC